UACGUAGGCAGCGAGCGUUGUUCGGAGUUACUGGGCGUAAAGGGUGUGUAGGCGGUUUUCUAAGUUUGGUGUGAAAUCUCCCGGCUCAACCGGGAGGGUGCGCCGAAAACUGGGAGACUAGAGUGCGGGAUGGGAGAGUAGAAUUCCUGGUGUAGCGGUGAAAUGCGUAGAUAUCUGGAGGAACACCGGUGGCGAAGGCGGCAUCCUGGACCGACACUGACGCUGCGGAGCGAAAGCCAGGGGAGCAAACGGG
rnacentral:rRNA from 1 species